rnacentral:rRNA from 1 species
UACGGAGGGUGCAAGCGUUGUCCGGAUUUAUUGGGUUUAAAGGGUGCGUAGGUGGGGUGUCAAGUCUGGUUUGAAAGUUAGCUGCUCAACAGUUAGACGUGGAUGGAUACUGGGAUUCUGGAAUGGGGUGGCGGCUGCCGGAACGGGUCAUGUAGCGGUGAAAUGCAUAGAUAUGACCCAGAACACCGAUUGCGAAGGCAGGUAGCUACGCCCUUAUUGACACUGAGGCACGAGAGCAUGGGUAGCGAACAGG